AACAAUACGUAUAGGACACGGGAGCACGGGCUCCUCAAUGCGUACGGUAGCGCCGCCGCGCGCCCGUUCCUCUCUGGCGCCGCCGCCGCCCUGCUCUCGUUCCCCUCCCUAUCCAUCUCAAUCUUCUCCGGUGCCACCACGAUCUUCAACCUCCUGCCGCCGUAUGUCUCCGAUUUGGAUCAGAGUCCGUGUUCCCCCAGGAUAAGUGCUGCAACACAAAUCCAUGGCGUGCCCGACCCAGAUUUGAGAGUGAUUUGGCUGCCAUUAGAAGGAGCCCUCAACCGGAAUCUCCAUUAAAUCGCAUCAUAUCGCAAAUUUUGAAGAGUCGUCCAGGAUCGUCUCAGCCGAGUUCGCCAGAAGAAAAUCCGCCGCCCAAGCGUACUACACGUGAGCCCGAAGAACAUCCCCUGCCGAACAUGCUACCCCAGAGCUAAGUGUUCAAGUACAAUCUCUAGCCAAGUUCUCGUUGUUGUUGUGUUGAAUUUUGAGGAAAGGCGGCCAAGCAGCUCGUGGCAUCUAUGUCACGCCUGCUCUGCCGCUGCCUUGACCCGUCGAGGACGUCGCCGGUUGAGCCGCAAGGUUGCAAGAUCAUCGUGGGGCCCAUUGCAUGGGCUCCGAGUAUGCUUGAUUGCCAUGUCGGAGGCGAAGGUGCUAGAGCUUGGUGGCGUGUUUGCAUUUGUGGAUGCAUGAAUAAUUGUCAAGGAGGCCGAAGCCAGCGGUAUUACGGUUGGACUGAAGGAAUUGUAUAACGUAUUCUGAGGCUCCUUGGUGGUGGAGAUCGACUACGCAGUGGGGAAAUGAGCUAGGGGCUGAUUCUGUAAGCAGAUCAUUGCCGUGCCCAAUUAUUGUUGAUAUUAAAUCUGCGCUGAGUAUUUUUUAGGCAUUAUCACAUCAGAACUGUCAAGAGGGACAAACAAGGGACUGGCUCAUGAACCAGCCAAUGACGCUAAAGCUCAUGGAGACCUUGUGGUUGCGUAUGGUGUCCCAGACCAACUCCAUGAUCAGCUCUGGAAGGAAAACAUUGCAGCCUUGAUGUCGGCCUAAGUCUUGAUGUAAUCCUAAAAAAAGAUAUUGCUUGCAGAUAGGUUAUACAUAAACAUGCAUGUUGUAGGUCUGUUAAUUUUAAUUUUGAAUACUGAGAUCUAUUCA